ACCGGUGGCGAAGGCGGGUCUCUGGGCAGUAACUGACGCUGAGGAGCGAAAGCGUGGGGAGCGAACAGGAUUAGAUACCCUGGUAGUCCACGCCGUAAACGGUGGGUACUAGGUGUGGGUUUCCUUCCCUUGGGAUCCGUGCCGUAGCUAACGCAUUAAGUACCCCGCCUGGGGAGUACGGCCGCAAGGCUAAAACUCAAAGAAAUUGACGGGGGCCCGCACAAGCGGCGGAGCAUGUGGAUUAAUUCGAUGCAACGCGAAGAACCUUACCUGGGUUUGACAUGCACAGGACGCCGGCAGAGAUGUCGGUUCCCUUGUGGCCUGUGUGCAGGUGGUGCAUGGCUGUCGUCAGCUCGUGUCGUGAGAUGUUGGGUUAAGUCCCGCAACGAGCGCAACCCUUGUCUCAUGUUGCCAGCGGGUAAUGCCGGGGACUCGUGAGAGACUGCCGGGGUCAACUCGGAGGAAGGUGGGGAUGACGUCAAGUCAUCAUGCCCCUUAUGUCCAGGGCUUCACACAUGCUACAAUGGCCGGUACAAAGGGCUGCGAUGCCGCGAGGUUAAGCGAAUCCUUUUAAAGCCGGUCUCAGUUCGGAUCGGGGUCUGCAACUCGACCCCGUGAAGUCGGAGUCGCUAGUA
rnacentral:rRNA from 1 species